CAGGAUAAACGCUGGCGGCGUGCUAAUACAUGCAAGUCGAACGAGGAGUUCUUGUAGCAAUACGGGGACUUCCUAGUGGCGAAUGGGUGAGUAACGCGUUGGUGACCUACCCCAAAGAGAGGAAUAACUCCGGGAAACUGGAGCUAAUACCCCAUGUGGUUACCAGGGUUAGAGGCCUGGCAACUGAAGGAGCAAUCCACUUUGGGAGGGACCUGCGUCCCAUCAGCUUGUUGGUAGGGUAACGGCCUACCAAGGCUACGACGGGUAGGGGGCCUGAGAGGGUGGCCCCCCACACUGGCACUGAAACACGGGCCAGACACCUACGGGUGGCAGCAGUAGGGAAUAUUGCACAAUGGGCGAAAGCCUGAUGCAGCAACGCCGCGUGCGCGAUGAAGACCUUCGGGUUGUAAAGCGCUUUUCUGAGGGACGAGGAAGGACGGUACUUCAGGAAUAAGGAUCGGCUAACUACGUGCCAGCAGCCGCGGUAAUACGUAGGAUCCGAGCGUUAUCCGAAUUUACUGGGCGUAAAGCGCGUGUAGGCGGCUUGAUAAGUUGGAUGUGAAAGCUCCCGGCUCAACUGGGAGAGGCCGUUCAAAACUAUCAGACUAGAGGACGGUAGAGGGAGGUAGAAUUCCCGGUGUAGUAGUGAAAUGCGUAGAUAUCGGGAGGAAUACCAGAGGCGAAAGCGGCGGCCUGGGCUGUAACUGACGCUGAACCGCGAAAGCCAGGGGAGCGAACGGGAUUAGAAACCCCGGUAGUCCUGGCCGUAAACGAUGCCAACUGGGCGUUGGUGGUGAGAGCCAUCAGCGUCGGAGCAAACGCGGUAAGUUGGCCGCCUGGGGAGUACGACCGCAAGGUUAAAACUCAAAGGAAUUGACGG
rnacentral:rRNA from 1 species